UACGUAGGGUGCAAGCGUUAAUCGGAAUUACUGGGCGUAAAGCGUGCGCAGGCGGUCUUGCAAGACAGAUGUGAAAUCCCCGGGCUCAACCUGGGAACUGCAUUUGUGACUGCAAGGCUGGAGUGCGGCAGAGGGGGAUGGAAUUCCGCGUGUAGCAGUGAAAUGCGUAGAUAUGCGGAGGAACACCGAUGGCGAAGGCAAUCCCCUGGACCUGUACUGACGCUCAUGCACGAAAGCGUGGGGAGCAAACAGG
rnacentral:rRNA from 1 species